rnacentral:lncRNA from 1 species
GUUUCUCUAUGUAUCACACAUUCUACAUGCGCCGUGAAUCAUGGACAUGGAAUAAGUUAUCAGAGGUCAGAAAAGGAAUAGUAUAGUAUCGAAGAAAAAAAAAAAAAGAAUAGUAACAUAACGUGUUGGAGGCUAUGAUGUUUCAUGUUAUAAAAAUCUGGAUCACAUGUAUUUAAAUCAAUGUGGGCACUAGUCCCACAUAAUUUUGUUGAGUUCAUAGACACACUGAUGUACACCUC